AAUCCGUGUUGUUGACAUGAACUAACAAGAUCCUUGAACCACUCCCAACAUUGGAAGAAUGUUUCAUCCAGCUUUUGGGCAAAGUUCAUGAUUGACUUUCUAAGGGU